AGCCCUACAGUCUGAUGAACAUUCUAGAGUAUGUGGACACAGAUGGACGCUCUGGCCACAGGCUCUGGCUCUUAGGUUCCCUGGACUUCUCCACACAUCUCCUUCAUCCAGUGUGAUCCUCCCUACGGGUCUCUUCGCUGCAGCUCAGAGACCUGCCUGGGAUGGGAUCUAAGGGGACAUUACUACAUCUGCUGAGGGGGUCAUACCUUUGCCGACUGAAAAGUCACUGGUCAGUUCCUACACCCCAGGACUUCUGUGGCCCAGCUCUGCAUAUUAUCAGCGUAGGAUACUAACUAGCAGUGGCACCUAGGUGCUUGCUUGGUGGAUGAGCUUCAGAGUUCAGCUUGUUGACCUGGGACUCGGCGAUGUCCGCCCUCUCCUCCGCCUCAUCCAGCUCGUGCUGCACCUUGCGGAACUUGGACAGCCUCCAGCUCAUUCUCCAGCUCCCGGACCCGGGCCUCCAGCUUCUGCAGCUGCUUCUUGCCGCCCUUGAGGGCGAUCUGCUCUGCCUCGUCCAGACGGUGCUGCAAGUCCUUGAUGGUCUGCUCCAUGUUCUUCUUCAUGCGCUCCAGGUCGUCAUUGGCACGGACAGCAUCAUCCAGCUGGAUUUGAGUGUCCUGAGGAUCAGAAAAAUGAGUGGCCUCAUUGCGGCUGCGUGUCUCCGCAUCCAGGGAGGUCUGCAGGGAGUCCACCAUCCGCAGGUGGUUGCGCUUGGCCUGCUCCAUCUCCUCAUCCUUCUCUGCCAGCUUCCUUUCAAUCUCUGCCUUGAUCUGGUUGAACUCUAGCUGGGCGCGGAGGAUCUUGCCCUCCUCGUGCUCCAGGGAGGCCUGGAAAGGAUAUAGAUUUUGCAGGCAUAUAGUCAGAGACCAGGGUGGAAGCAAGGGUGUGUCUAAAAACCAUGGCACAGAGAGCAUUUGGGGAUGGUAUACAUGACUCAGUAGGAGAUGCAGUGGAAGGAAAUGAGAAAGAGUGUGCACAAGAGAAAUGAAAGCAAGCUGAAGAGAAGGGGAUGCAGACUCCCAGGGGGGCGGAGGGAGUCAGCUUUGAAGACAAAGAGGAAAAUGAAAAGUGUUGCCAAGGAAACAGAGGCAAUGAAGCAGAGAGUAAAGGAACAAAAAAAAAAAAACCACCACACACAGGCAGGCAGAGGUGGAAAGUGGAAUGAGCUGAAAUAGGAGUCUUUCUAAGGUACAGUAAAUAAAAUGUUUGUGUGAAGGAA
rnacentral:lncRNA from 1 species